rnacentral:tRNA from 1 species
GGAUUGUGGCUCAGCGGUAGAGUGCUCCCCUAGCAUGGGCGAGACCGGGUUCAAUUCUCAGCACCA